UACAGAGGGGACAAACGUUGUCCGGAAUUAUUGGGCGUAAAGGGCGCGUAGGUGGUUGAGUAAGUCAGGUGUGAAAGCUCUGGGCUUAACCCAGGAAUUGCAUCUGAUACUGCUCGGCUUGAGUACGGUAGAGGAGGGUGGAAUUCCCAGUGUAGCGGUGAAAUGCGUAGAUAUUGGGAGGAACACCGGUGGCGAAGGCGGCCCUCUGGACCGAAACUGACACUGAAGCGCGAAAGCUAGGGGAGCAAACGGG
rnacentral:rRNA from 1 species